CCUACGGGAGGCAGCAGUGGGGAAUAUUGGGCAAUGGGCGCAAGCCUGACCCAGCAACGCCGCGUGAAGGAAGAAGGCCCUCGGGUUGUAAACUUCUUUUAUCAGGGACGAAACAAGUGACGGUCCUUGAUGAAUACGCCACCGCUAACUACGUGCCCGCAGCCGCGGUAAUACGGAGGUGGCAAGCGUUAUCCGGAGUUACUGGGUGUAAGGGGCGUGUAGGCGGGACUGCAAGUCAGAUGUGAACACCAUGGGCUCAACCCAGGGCCUGCAUUUGAAACUGUAGUGCUGGAGUGUGGGAGAGGCAGGCGGAAUUCCGGGUGUAGCGGUGAAAUGCGUAGAUAUACGGAGGAACACCAGUGGCGAAGGCGGCCUGCUGGACAAUAACUGACGCUGAGGCGCGAAAGCGUGGGGAGCAAACAGGAUUAGAUACCCCUGUAGUC
rnacentral:rRNA from 1 species